rnacentral:rRNA from 1 species
GUGGGGAAUCUUGCGCAAUGGGCGAAAGCCUGACGCAGCAACGCCGCGUGCGGGAAGAAGGCUUUCGGGCUGUAAACCGCUUUCAGCAGGAACGAAAAUGACGGUACCUGCAGAAGAAGGAGCGGCCAACUAUGUGCCAGCAGCCGCGGUGAUACAUAGGCUUCAAGCGUUGUCCGGAUUUAUUGGGCGUAAAGAGUUCGUAGGCGGUCGAGUAAGUCGGGUGUGAAAAUUCUGGGCUCAACCCAGAGACGCCACCCGAUACUGCUUAACUUGAGUUCGAUAGGGGAGUGGGGAAUUCCUAGUGUAGCGGUGAAAUGCGCAGAUAUUAGGAGGAACACCGGUGGCGAAGGCGCCACUCUGGAUCGACACUGACGCUGAGGAACGAAAGCAUGGGUAGCAAACAGGAUUAGAAACCCCAGUAGUCC